rnacentral:rRNA from 1 species
CAGUCGCCACGGUAAUACGUAGGUGGCAAGCGUUGUCCGGAAUUAUUGGGCGUAAAGCGCGCGCAGGCGGAUCAGUUAGUCUGUCUUAAAAGUUCGGGGCUUAACCCCGUGAUGGGAUGGAAACUGCUGAUCUAGAGUAUCGGAGAGGAAAGUGGAAUUCCUAGUGUAGCGGUGAAAUGCGUAGAUAUUAGGAAGAACACCAGUGGCGAAGGCGACUUUCUGGACGAAAACUGACGCUGAGGCGCGAAAGCCAGGGGAGCGAACGGGAUUAGAUACCCCAGUAGUCCCUGUCUCUUAUACA